CUGAGUACGGCGGAACACGUGAAAUUCCGUCGGAAUCCGGGAGGACCAUCUCCCAAGGCUAAAUACUCCCUAGUGACCGAUAGUGAACCAGUACCGUGAGGGAAAGGUGAAAAGCACCCCGGAAGGGGAGUGAAACAGUUCCUGAAACCGUGUGCCUACAAGUAGUUAGAGCCCGUUAAUGGGUGAUAGCGUGCCUUUUGUAGAAUGAACCGGCGAGUUACGAUUUGUUGCAAGGUUAAGCGGAAAAAGCGGAGCCGUAGCGAAAGCGAGUCUGAAUAGGGCGCAUAAGUAACAGGUCGUAGACCCGAAACCAGGUGAUCUACCCAUGUCCAGGAUGAAGGUAAGGUAAUACUUACUGGAGGUCCGAACCCACGCACGUUGAAAAGUGCGGGGAUGAGGUGUGGGUAGCGGAGAAAUUCCAAUCGAACUUGGAGAUAGCUGGUUCUCUCCGAAAUAGCUUUAGGGCUAGCCUCGAGGUAAAGAGUCAUGGAGGUAGAGCACUGUUUGGACUAGGGGCCCUUCUCGGGUUACCGAAUUCAGAUAAACUCCGAAUGCCAUGUACUUAUACUCGGGAGUCAGACUGCGAGUGAUAAGAUCCGUAGUCGAAAGGGAAACAGCCCAGACCACCAGUUAAGGUCCCCAAAUAUAUGUUAAGUGGAAAAGGAUGUGGGGUUGCUUAGACAACCAGGAUGUUGGCUUAGAAGCAGCCACCAUUGAAAGAGUGCGUAAUAGCUCACUGGUCGAGUGACCCCGCGCCGAAAAUGUACCGGGGCUAAACAUAUUACCGAAACUGUGGAUGAACCUCUUUAGAGGUUCGUGGUAGGAGAGCGUUCUAAGGGCGGUGAAGUCAGACCGGAAGGACUGGUGGAGCGCUUAGAAGUGAGAAUGCCGGUAUGAGUAGCGAAAGAAGGGUGAGAAUCCCUUCCACCGAAUAUCUAAGGUUUCCUGAGGAAGGCUCGUCCGCUCAGGGUUAGUCGGGACCUAAGCCGAGGCCGAUAGGCGUAGGCGAUGGACAACAGGUAGAGAUUCCUGUACCAGUGCUAAUUGUUUAACCGAUGGGGUGACACAGAAGGAUAGGGAAUCGCACGAAUGGAAAUGUGCGUCCAAGCAGUGAGUGUGAGAAGUAGGCAAAUCCGCUUCUCGCGAAGCAUGAGCUGUGAUGGGGAAGGAAAUUAAGUACGGAAGUUCCUGAUUUCACGCUGUCAAGAAAAGCCUCUAGGAAGAGUAGUACUGCCCGUACCGCAAACCGACACAGGUAGAUGAGGAGAGAAUCCUAAGGUGAGCGAGAGAACUCUCGUUAAGGAACUCGGCAAAAUGACCCCGUAACUUCGGGAGAAGGGGUGCUCUAUUAGGGUGCAAGCCCGAGAGAGCCGCAGUGAAUAGGCCCAGGCGACUGUUUAGCAAAAACACAGGUCUCUGCAAAACCGUAAGGUGACGUAUAGGGGCUGACGCCUGCCCGGUGCUGGAAGGUUAAGAGGAGUGCUUAGCUUCGGCGAAGGUACGAAUUGAAGCCCCAGUAAACGGCGGCCGUAACUAUAACGGUCCUAAGGUAGCGAAAUUCCUUGUCGGGUAAGUUCCGACCCGCACGAAAGGCGCAACGAUCUGGGCACUGUCUCAACGAGAGACUCGGUGAAAUUAUAGUACCUGUGAAGAUGCAGGUUACCCGCGACAGGACGGAAAGACCCCGUGGAGCUUUACUGCAACCUGAUAUGGAAUGUUUGUACCGCUUGUACAGGAUAGGUAGGAGCCGAAGAGACGUGUGCGCUAGCAUACGAGGAGGCAAUGGUGGGAUACUACCCUGGCUGUAUGACCAUUCUAACCCGCCACGCUUAGCGCGUGGGGAGACAGUGUCAGGUGGGCAGUUUGACUGGGGCGGUCGCCUCCUAAAGAGUAACGGAGGCGCCCAAAGGUUCCCUCAGAAUGGAUGGAAAUCAUUCGCAGAGUGUAAAGGCACAAGGGAGCUUGACUGCGAGACUGACAAGUCGAGCAGGGACGAAAGUCGGGCUUAGUGAUCCGGUGGUUCCGCAUGGAAGGGCCAUCGCUCAACGGAUAAAAGCUACCCCGGGGAUAACAGGCUUAUCUCCCCCAAGAGUCCACAUCGACGGGGAGGUUUGGCACCUCGAUGUCGGCUCGUCGCAUCCUGGGGCUGUAGUCGGUCCCAAGGGUUGGGCUGUUCGCCCAUUAAAGCGGCACGCGAGCUGGGUUCAGAACGUCGUGAGACAGUUCGGUCCCUAUCCGUCGCGGGCGCAGGAAAUUUGAGAGGAGCUGUCCUUAGUACGA
rnacentral:rRNA from 1 species